AACCAGCACCUCAAGUGGUCAGGAUGAUUAUUGGGCCUAAAGCAUCCGUAGCCGGCUCUGUAAGUUUUCGGUUAAAUCUAUACGCUCAACGUAUGGGCUGCCGAAAAUACUGUAGAGAUAGGGAGUGGGAGAGGUAGACGGUACUCGGUAGGAAGGGGUAAAAUCCUUUGAUCUAUCGAUGACCACCUGUGGCGAAGGCGGUCUACCAGAACACGUUCGACGGUGAGGGAUGAAAGCUGGGGGAGCAAACCGG
rnacentral:rRNA from 1 species